UACGAAGGGGGCUAGCGUUGUUCGGAAUUACUGGGCGUAAAGCGCACGUAGGCGGAUAUUUAAGUCAGGGGUGAAAUCCCAGAGCUCAACUCUGGAACUGCCUUUGAUACUGGGUAUCUAGAGUAUGGAAGAGGUGAGUGGAAUUCCGAGUGUAGAGGUGAAAUUCGUAGAUAUUCGGAAGAACACCAGUGGCGAAGGCGACUACCUGGCCUGUUCUUGACGCUGAGGCGCGAAAGCUAGGGGAGCAAACGGG
rnacentral:rRNA from 1 species